rnacentral:rRNA from 1 species
GAUGAACGCUAGCGGCAGGCCUAACACAUGCGAGUCGAGGGGUAGAAGGAGCUUGCUCCUUUGAGACCGGCGCACGGGUGCGUAACGCGUAUGCAAUCUACCUUGUACAGGGGAAUAGCCCAGAGAAAUUUGGAUUAAUGCCCCAUAGUAUAUAACCUUCGCAUGUUGGUUAUCUUAAAGUUCCAACGGUACAAGAUGAGCAUGCGUCCCAUUAGUUAGUUGGUAAGGUAACGGCCUACCAAGACGAUGAUGGGUAGGGGUCCUGAGAGGGAGAUCCCCCACACUGGUACUGAGACACAGACCAGACUCCUACGGGAGGCAGCAGUGAGGAAUAUUGGGCAAUGGUCGCAAGACGGAACCAGCCAUGCCGCGUGCAGGAAGACGGUCCUAUGGAUUGUAAACUGCUUUUAUACAGGAAGAAACCCUCCCACGUGUGGGAGCUUGACGGUACUGUAGGAAUAAGGAUCGGCUAACUCCGUG